rnacentral:lncRNA from 1 species
ACGGAUCGCUCCUCAGUAUCUAUAUCCGCAUUCAUUUGAUAUUUUACCAUACUUCAAUAUAAGAACGUUUGUUAUUGAAAUAGUGAUGUAAAAACAUUUAAUCUGCAAAAUUAUUUGAAGAUGAAGUUAAGAGGCAAAGAUUAAUUUGUUAUUUUCCUAAAAUGGAAAAGAAGAGAAAAUAAACUUUGAGAGGCGAACUGAUUAAAGAAAUACAUUACAUGCCAA